rnacentral:tRNA from 1 species
GCCUGGGUGGCUCAGUGGCUGAGCAUCUGCCUUUGGCUCAGGUUGUGAUGCCAGGGUCCUGGGAUCGAGUCCCAUAUCAGGCU